GAACGACUCUCGGCAACGGAUAUCUCGGCUCUCGCAUCGAUGAAGAACGUAGCGAAAUGCGAUACUUGGUGUGAAUUGCAGAAUCCCGUGAACCAUCGAGUCUUUGAACGCAAGUUGCGCCCGAAGCCUUCAGGCCGAGGGCACGUCUGUCUGGGCGUCACGCA
rnacentral:rRNA from 1 species